CUACGGGAUGCACCAGUAAGGAAUAUUGCACAAUGGGGGGAACCCUGAUGCAGCAACGCCGCGUGGAGGAUGACGCAUUUCGGUUUGUAAACUCCUUUUAUAUGUCAAGAAAAUGACGGUAGCAUAUGAAUAAGCACCGGCUAACUCCGUGCCAGCAGCCGCGGUAAUACGGAGGGUGCAAGCGUUACUCGGAAUCACUGGGCGUAAAGGACGCGUAGGCGGGUUGGAAAGUCAGGUGUGAAAUCCUACAGCUUAACUGUAGAACUGCACUUGAAACUUCUAAUCUAGAGUAUGGGAGGGGGAGAUGGAAUUAGUGGUGUAGGGGUAAAAUCCGUAGAUAUCACUAGGAAUACCUAAAGCGAAGGCGAUCUCCUGGAACAUUACUGACGCUAAGGCGUGAAAGCGUGGGGAGCAAACAGGAUUAGAUACCCUCGUAGUC
rnacentral:rRNA from 1 species